rnacentral:rRNA from 1 species
GAUGAACGCUGACAGAAUGCUUAACGCAUGCAAGUCUUUGGCGAAGCUGUGCUUACACAGCCUAGCCAAGGCGGACGGGUGAGUAACGCGUAAGGAACUUGCCCUGCAGUCAGGGAUAACAGACGGAAACGACUGAUAAGACCUGGUAAAGUCAGGCGGACUCAUGUCCAGCCUGAUGAAAAGAGAUGCUGCAGGAGAGCCUUGCGUCCUAUUAGCUUGUUGGUGGGGUAACGGCCCACCAAGGCGAUGAUAGGUAGCCGGCCUGAGAGGGUGGACGGCCACAAGGGGACUGAGAUACGGCCCUUACUCCUACGGGAGGCAGCAGUGGGGAAUAUUGGACAAUGGGGGCAACCCUGAUCCAGCAAUUCUGUGUGCACGAUGAAGGUUUUCGGAUUGUAAAGUGCUUUCAGCAGGGAAGAAAAAAAUGACGGUACCUGCAGAAGAAGCGACGGCUAAAUACGUG